rnacentral:piRNA from 1 species
GAGGGCGAUAUAUAAACAAG